CAAGGAACUAACUAAAGAUGCCCCACAAAGCCAGAGACAGCUUGGCUGGAAGGAAAACUGAAACACAGCUGUUGAAAAGUGCUUUUUAGAGAAGUCCUAGAAGCAGCAAGUUCUGUACUCCCCUAAGUAAGUUCACUGAGAUGAGGAACACAGAGUGAGAAAUCAAUACAGAAGGGGAGAUUGGUUCAUUUUCGGAUACUUUGAAUUUGUGAUGCCUGUAGGACGUCCGGCGAUAGGAACAGUGGGAAAAAAAAAAUAAUAAGGAUGCGUAUGCUGUCUCUACUCUGAAAGUCUUCUAAGUGGUAGUGCUGGGCAGCAUCCUUCUCCAAAAAUGAUGGAUUCUAUCAUCCCUCCGGUCUUCUCAGAGCAUUUAGGGAAAUGCCUUAAGAAGUGUAUUUGAAGCAGAAGCUGGAUUCCCAGGGCCGUGGGAUCAGCUGGGCUCAGCCUUCAGAGGAAGAGAAAAAUGACUCCACUUGUUGCUGGCAUUGAACAGGAAAGGAUGUGGGCGAACAAGACGGCAGAAUGACACCUGGUGCCCAGUGUGACAGUUCCCCGUGUGAUUCCUAACUCAACAAGGUCCUCAAAAUCCACAGAAAGGGCUGAGAUCUCCAUGCCUCCCUUGGUCCAAUGAAACACCACUUGGGAACAAACACAGGGAGCAGAGACAGAGGGGACUUGGGAAAUAUGGCCACGUGUGUUACUGGUACCCUGAGGUCCCCAGAGCACGGAAAUUACAAAUCUCAAGGAAAGCUCAGCUCCUGUGCACAAGGCAAGAAGACCUCUGGCAGACGUGUGGGUGAAAGAGUUUUGUUAAGUUCAAGAACUACCAUUCUAGAAAGGGAAAGACAGUGGCUGUGGCUCCUGAUCAUAUAGUAACUCUGGGCUAGGUACCUGCAACUCUCUGGCAUAGAAAAUCCAGGUCAACGAAGGGGUGUGCCUUACCCAGGGCCACACAGCCAAGUCCCCAGCUCUGGGCUCGUACAGCACUUCGCACAGGUGUCCAGCCCACUCAGCAUUUGCCAUGUUUUCUAGGAACUGCUUGUUCAUUUAUCUGUCACUCCUCCCAGGCUGCCAGGGACCACAUUCUGUUUGUCCAUUAACCCCAACACAUGGUAGAGGGGCUGUCGAGGGGCCAGUUCAUGUUUAUUAAACUGAGAUGAACAGAUGGUGACCUGUUCUUGGGAACUGAACUCGGACCCAGUUCUUGGGAACUGACUCCACGGUCCCAGUUUCGUCCCCUCUGCGACUUCCCUGAGUCUUUAAGGUGGACAUGUUUAUUUUUGCAUUCAAGCAAAAGAAUGUCCUGAAAUCCGACACAAGGAAAACUAGUUUUCAAAAUGUUUGAUAGAAGCAUUCAUGCCUUCAAUCCGACCCCUCCCCCGCCAAACCUCAGCCUCCAAACCCAGCUUCUGCUCUGAUAAUUGCCUGUAGCAGGGAGAGUCUUGGGUUUACACUCAAU